ACUCGACUGGAGAAUCCCAAUUUUAUCGUAAAUUUAAAGGCUUUAACAAAGCCCAUAGGCUUAGCCACUUGUAUAGUGAAUCUUUCAUAUUUGCCUACACUAUAGAACCUACCAAGUAAAAAAUAAUAACGAUAAACUAUUUAAUAUACAUUGUAGCUCAUUCACGUUAAAAUUGAUUGUUUAAAGGCCAAGGAUACCUGAAAUCUUUAAUAAUUUAUCUUUAAAAGGUAACAACAUAUCAAUUCUUUUACACUGUAGAUUCGAGAUUCUCGUGAUAUUCACAAAUCUUAUACGAAGAGCUAAGGGCUAAGGUUUUUUUAGUAUUUAGCAAGUACAUGCUUUCCUUAAUUAAGGUUAGGUUUUCACCGGUUAAGCCUCUAAAAUGAGCAUUCACCUACAUUAUAAAUCAACUAACAGUAGGAGUUUGAUAAUGGGAUUGUUAUUACCUAAAAAUUGAUAUUAGGGAAAAUAACUCAAUUCAACACAUAAGGAUCAAGUACAAGAUGUGUUACAUGAUUUUCAGAGUUCGCGCCAGCCAUUGUUGGAUAGAAACAUGUAAAGAAAAUGUGUAAUUUAGUAAGAGUAGUUGUUCAAGACAUUUAGAGGCAGUACCUAUUCUUACAGCCUAAACAUGGUCAAAUGGUGGCAAUAAAAUACUGCCAACCAAUUUCAACAAAGAAAAUUAUUUAUAUUAAAAUAAUUUGAUUUUAUCAAAUUAUUAUUAUUUUUAAGCACACCAAUUUUGAUAAACACAAAAUAAAUUAUUUUUUUAAAGCCAACCAAAUUUAAUAUUUUGGGCUUGGCUUGCCCUAUAAAUAGGUGAGUUGAGGGCAUCAAGGGUAGUGUGAAAAAAGUUUCAAUUGAGAGAAUAUUUUGAGAACCUUCUGCCAUAUAACAGUGGCUUGAUUUUUAUGAGACCCUGAAAUAUCCUUAUGACUAAUUAUUUUAAUCUAUCAAAUUAAACCUCUGUCCAAAUCAUAAGAUUUUUUAUAAAGUUAUAUUAUUAUUAACAACUAUGAAAUAUUCAAAUCAAAUUUAUGAAUAAAUUUUAAUAUAAUUUUAUCUAUAUUAUUAUUUCUGAAAUUAUAUUAAAUAAAUCAUAAUUAUUUUAAGCUUUGUUCUGAUUAAAGCCCAAUAAAAGUGAUAAAUGAGGCCUAAGCCCACAAACCCUUAACUUGCAGUUCAUCUGUUUAUCUGGAGUGCGUGCGUAUUUGGGAAUGAAAUUCUGUGAAAUUUUUAUAAAUCAUGGAACUAGCUAUUAAGCUAUCCUAGUUAAUGAAUGCUUCGUUAUUUUUUAUAUGAAAAAUUCUAUAAUCUUAUUUUCUAAUAUGUUAUUAUUUAUAUAUUUUUAGUGGCAAAAAAAAAGAUCUUCAUCUUAUUGUAAGCAUCAUUAUAUUCUUAUUUCUUACACGAGCUAACCCAUUUAGAUCUUGCAAUAGCCUGAUUCAAGCUUGAGACUCCCUAGCGCUCAAUUUAAGAUGCAAUAAUACUUAACAUCAUUGGCUUAUGGUUUGUUUCCCUUACCGAAGAAAUUCUAAAAUAUAGCAGAAGUGAUACGUCAGUCAUACAACAAAUAAAUAAUAUUAUAAUAUGUGUGCAUUUAUUUUAAAAAAUUAAAUUUAAUUAUACAAGGCAUAUGUGGAUUCACUAAUUGUAUUAUUUCCUAUAUAUUCUAAAAUUCUUUCACGACUUGGAUAUGAUUCCCCAAGUGCAUGGUGUAAGUUCAUUUCCAUUAAAAUUACAUUAAAGUAAAUUAAAUCUAUUAUGAGCUCAAUUGUAAGAGCUGUGCUAUAUCGAAAGUUAUCUGAUUAUGGUUCUAACAGAACCCUAACUAUGAAAUCAUAGAAAUAAUAGAAUCAAGAUUCUGUGUGGAGUAUUACAAAACAAAGGAUGAUGAGAUUGGGAAUACUCCAUGUUUAAGAAGCAUGGGGCCUUUGGGUUCCCAGAAUACGGGCAGUGAGAGAGAGAACCCGAUGCAUCAACGUUAGAUUUGAUGGGUCUUUAAGUAAGAACGAAAGCUAGAAAAAGAAAACAACAACAAAGAUGCAUAUAAUUCCAAAAUUAAUUGGUGGCUCAAAAACAAAAUCUGAGAAGACAGCUCAACGAACCAAUUAUACUCCCUCAAAUAAUUGUCUUCCGUCUGUUUGUUCCCACAAGCAUGUGAGAGACACAUGAUAUCAAAAGAUGCUUUCAAUAUCUCUUUCACCAAACUAUUAUUUAAUAUUUGAUUAUUUUACUAAUAUUUAGAAUAUAAAAAAAAAUAUAUCAAGAACUCAAAAAAAAAAAAAAUCACAUACUGUUUAGUAUCGAGGUUAAGUAAUUGUAGAGAAAAAUUAUAAUACUAAAAUAUUUAAUAAAUACUAAUUCAUGUAAUUUAUAAAUUUUAUUGAUUUGAUUUACUAUUUAUAUGAAAAAAAAACUUAUAAUAUUUUUGCUAUCAGUAACGUUUGUUACUAAUGUUAGAGCACUAAUAAGGGACUUUAUUUUCGGCGGUUCAAUAGUUUUCAAUUCAGAGUUUGGCCAACUUCCUCCAUUCAUUUCACAAUCUUAAUGCUUUAAUAAAGAAUACAUGAGCUGAUCACUAUGUCUCUUUUGUGGACUUGAAUGUUGCCUUGCAACUACGGAUUUUCAAACUAGGGAUUUUCAAUCCCUAUCUCUACUUCUUAACAAUUUUGAUAGGCUUCUAAACUACCGUAAAAAAAUAGAAGAGAGAGAGAGGAAAAAAGCAAUCUUCUAUUAAGAUUUCAAUCUUCACAAUAAGAGAAAUUAGCAUGAAAUGGCAUAAAGAUUGCGCGAUUGAAUUGGAAGUUGCGGGUCCAUCAUUCCAUUACAUGUAGAAAUUCAUUGUAGAAUAUUACGUGAUAAAUAGUUAUAUGAAAUAUGAAAAUUUUGUCACGUCCUUUGUCAUACAUCAAUUGAGAUGAAAAUCAUAUGCACUAAAUUAGAUUUCAGGUCAACUAGAAAUUUGGUAUAAUAAGCCAAGAGAAAUUAAUUAAGAUGAAUUCAAUUAAGCAGUGAAGGCAUGAUGUUAAGCCAAAUUAAUUAGAAGCCACGCAUGCAAACGAGUUAUCCACAGUGAGGUAAAAAAAAAAAAUAAAUAAAAAGCAAAGUGCGUGGCAGCUUGUGUACAAAAUAUUAUAGAUAAGAAAAUAAUUGGUCCAUAUGUGUUGCCGUUCAGACCUGAUCAUAUAGCCCAACAAAUGGGGCAGUAAUCUGUCAAAUCAGCCCUCGAAUUAUAUAUGCUUCGUUCGGCUUCAACGAAAAUCUACAAAGAAUAAGAGCCGCCAGGGCAUUACAAAAUGCCAAACUAAUAACUGUUCUAAAAAUUGAGUGAUGAUA
rnacentral:lncRNA from 1 species